GACGAACGCUGGCGGCGUGCCUAAUACAUGCAAGUAGGACGCAGAUGCGAAAGGGUGAGUAACGCGUAGGUAACUAGCUAGUAGAGGGGGAUAACUAUUGGAAACGAUAGCUAAUACCGCAUACUAGUAGAUGGACCUGCGUUGUAUUAGCGAGUAGGGAGGGUAAGGGCCUACCUAGGCAACGAUACAUAGCCGGGCUGGGAGGGUUAGCGGCCAAGCUUGGACUGGGGAACGGGCCAGACUCCUACGGGAGGGAGCCGUAGGGGAACUUCGGCAAUGGGGGGAACCCUUACCGAGCAACGCCGCGGUGGUGAAGCAAGUUUUCGGGUCUUAAAGCUCUGUUGUUAAGGAAGCGUUACUUAACCAGAAAGGGCCGGCUAACUACGUGCCAGCCGCCGCGGUAAUAC
rnacentral:rRNA from 1 species